UGUGGCUCCAUCCCAGGACCCUGGGAUCAUGACCUGAGCCGAAGGCAGUCGCUCAACCAACUGAGCCACCCAGGCUUGGGUGCAAAUCAAAGUCAUCUGUGCUAACUGAAUUCAAUGGAAACAUACAUCAACGAUACCAGCUUGGCCUCUGCACACUGAGGUAGAUUAGACUAAACAUUUCACCACACCCCCUUAAACAGCUUUAAGGUUACUGGCACAUUGUAGAGGUCCCGCUCACCCUGUCUUCUAUAAUGUUAAACAUAUUUCAGUAAAAGUUGGUUUGUAUAGAGAGGCUUUAGAGAAAAUGAAAAGAAUAUAAAAUAAGGAUAGAGUUGUUUGUAAUAAACAUAUAGAAUAUAUAUCUAUUAGAACACUAUCCUUAAAACAAUCACAUUGAGAAGAUGAUUAUAUUAGAGUUCCAUUGCUCAACACGUCACUAAGGCUCCUUUCUAGGAACUAGCACCAGAGCCAUUUCUGUGAUCACAAACUGUGAUCAG
rnacentral:lncRNA from 1 species